GUAGAAUUUUCUUUGGAAUUUAUAUUUUAAUAGUUUUUGUUUCAUUUUAAAGUAAUUUUGCCUAUUUUGCUGUUGUUUAAGAUGAUGGACCACUCUACUUCCUUUUACUACAGGUGCCCCUACAGAUUCACAAAGUUCCAAUGCUGAAUUUCCAUGACCUCGAUUGAGUGAAUGCACUACUUUUUUCCGCGACAGGAGAAGGAAUAAGGUUGGCAGGACUUUCUGCACUGACCUUGGUAGCAGCUGACGAUGGAACCGACAGCAGUUGACAUGGCCCGUUUUAUCAAAGAUGCACCGGAAGUAGCGGCACUAUCUCCAUCACUUGUGAAAUGACGAUUGGUCCGUCAUCACUUUGCAGCUCAUCGAUGCAUUCCCCAUUCCCCAUGUAGCCCAUCUCUUUUCAUCUUUAAUGGUGGUCUCUGGAGGAAUGAUUGUAGUGCAGUCUUCAUGUUCUGGACAGGUCUGAUGAAUGUAAGUGGCUGAUGCUGGUUUGGUGUUUGCACCAAGAAGCAUACCACGCAUACCCUCUGUUGUAAGGCUGGUACCCAAGUGGACGACAGUAAUUGACAGAUCAAGCUGUGUGGCUCUUCGUCCCCUUCCUGAUCGACUGACUUCCUCGUACUUGUUUCAAGACUCAAUUUGAGAGUAUAAGUGGGAGUCUGCAGUAUCUUGUACAACAGUAUUAAAAUCAGCUUUUCUUGGUGUAAGGCAAUACUGGGAAGUAAACAUGGGGAACUGAUGACAACUUAUGAAUACAGAGUUGAAGUUAGUGUCCAGAGUCUGGAAAAAUCUCUCAAGGACCUACUAAGUGAACUCAGACAAACUCAGAUGUCACUCGCCUUCGAGUUGGACACAGUGGACAGUCUGACGAGUUGACCCAGCGCUCAGGCCGUGAACCAGCGAGUGUUACAUCAUAACUCAGAGUUGACCAAUUUUGUGUCUAGUCUAGACUGAUGAAGGGGAAGAUGAAGCUACGCAACACACUGGGGCAUCUAUAGGAGGAGAUCUGGAGAUACAGGUAGAGAGGCACCAAACAGCAGGUAUGUUAGUCUCUAGAUAAAGGCAGAGAGGUGCCGAACAGCAUGUAUGUUAGUCUGUGGAUACAGGCAGAGAGGUGCCGAACAGCAUGUAUGUUAGUCAAUAGAUAAAGGCAGAGAGGUGUCGAACAGCAGGUAUGUUAGUCUGUAGAUAAAGGCAGAGGGAUGCCAAACAGCAGGUAUGUUAGUCUGUAGAUACAGGCAGAGGGUGUCUGUGGAUGAAGUAAAUAGGUUCCAAACAUCGUUUAUGUUAGUCAGACAUCAGGUAAGUAAAUAAGGUGCUUCAAAAUCAGGAUUGUAAGUUGGUAGAAAAAUGACUAUCUAGGAGUAGUUAACCAUCAUGUUAGUUGAGACAUCUGACAACCUCAAGACAAUUGUACCCACAUCUAGGUCAUUAUGGUCCUCUUGGUUUAGGAAGUAUUUAUUAAGUCAAUGUUUUCUUCACUGUAGAAUAGACAUGAUACGAGUGAAGACCCUACGGAUCAGGAGAACCGACAUAUGGAAGUUCGCGCCUCAUGGGCCAAAGAGAGGCUGUCGCUACAGCUGGCCCUUGAUCAAAUGGAACAGGAGCUUGACCAAUGUCGAGCUGACCUCAGAUUGGAACAAGUCCGAAAGUUACGCACCUAACUCUAACAGUUUCUCACCACCCCGCAUCAACACCCAGUCACACCUGAACGGCUACGGACCCUUCAACAGUCACACUUCAUCACCCCUCCAUUCAAGUGUUCAUCAGUCUCCAUACAGUCCGUCCUAUUUGUCUUCCAGCUUUACUCAGAGACACCUCCUUAAUGGAGCUUCUCCAUAUCACUCACUAGGGGGAGCCUCUAGUGGUUACCAUGUCAUUAGCAAUGGAGUAACCAAUGGGAUCUUUCCUUAUUAGUCAAUGGGAGGGGUUAUGAUAGUUACCAUGUCAAAGGCAAAUUCUCUGUCCAUACCUCACUGCCCACGUGAGACUACAGCAGCAAACUACACCCACUUCUGAAAACUUAGGUGCUAUAAGGAAAAUAUUCUCCCCUUCUUCUCCCAACAAAAGUUGGUCUCUCAUCUCUAAUACAUCGAGUCAGGAUCAGAAAGGCCUCGUCCCAUGAUGACUACAUGACACGACUCGAGAAUCUGCAUCAGAGACUUAGCGGGAUGGAUUCUGGUACUCCUAUGUCAAGGUUAUUUCCACGGAGAUAGGCGUGAGAUCCAGAGAACCUUGUUAUAACUUUGUCUUCACUGUGACCUUGUCAGACCUUGACCUUCAUUGGCUCCAUACUCUCUGAUGCUGGACAAUAACAUUCUUUUUACCUGCAUUAAUCAUGUCCUGUCAUUUCAGGAACCAAAAUAAGAAAAGUAAUAUAUUGUAAAAUUGGAACCAGAUGUUUUAUGUGUUAUUUUUUAUUAUUGAGUUCAAUAUCAUGGUGUUUGAUAAUUCAUUUGAGCUGAAGCAAAUUCUGAACUCAUCGCAUGAUUUUACGUGGCACAUAAUGUGCUGUUUUGUACCUAUUGUUAAAACAGUCCAGUUGCUAUUCAUUAUGCAAAGACUAUAGCAAUAUUUUAUGAUACUAAUGUCAGAGUUUUAUUUGGAGAAAUGUAGACAUAGAAUUAUCAUGUUUUAAGGUGUAUGAUAUUUGUUUAAUAUUCUAUGGGAUCAUUGCUGUUUAAAACUAGUCCUUACUGUUUGUGAUUAAACAUAAAUAGCUGCUUGUCUGUACCAUGUAAAUCUAUCACCCCCUCCAACCCCCCCCCCCCCCCCCCCCCCCUGUAUAAUCUGACUACCUGCAAUGCAGAGGAAUUCAUUGUAUAUAUCAUUAGUCCAACAGUUCUGUCCUUUUAUCAGUAUUUUUUCUAGUUUUAUCUGUAUAACCUAUUGUCUUGAACCUGUUUUACGUGUAUCUUGUCAUUGAUGUUACAUUGACCCUACUGCCAUUUUUUGAUUCUCAUAAUUUGACCCAACACUCCCAACUAUUCCCCUUAAGUAUGAAUAUAUAGGUACAUGUAUCUUGAAAAACUAUACGGUUCUUUUAAGUUUAAAUUGGUCUAUCAUGUCAUAUGUUAUAAUCUUUGAUGAAAUCUCAUCACAUCUAUUUAUAAUGUCAAUACAAGGGAGUUUAUCCAUGCCUGUCAAAUAUUUCUCACUAGAUAUAAUGGCAUUAUUAGAACCCCUUUGGUUUAUUUAUUAUCAAUUAUAUUACUCGUAAAUAGGAUCAUAUAUUGUUUUAUGAUAUGUGGAUUAAAUGUUUUGUCAUGUAUUGUAUAUGUUUGGAUGCU
rnacentral:sRNA from 1 species